GUACGGGAGGCAGCAGUGGGGAAUUUUGGACAAUGGGCGCAAGCCUGAUCCAGCCAUGCCGCGUGCGGGAAGAAGGCCUUCGGGUUGUAAACCGCUUUUGUCAGGGAAGAAACGCUCUAGGCUAAUACCCUAGGGUAAUGACGGUACCUGAAGAAUAAGCACCGGCUAACUACGUGCCAGCAGCCGCGGUAAUACGUAGGGUGCAAGCGUUAAUCGGAAUUACUGGGCGUAAAGCGUGCGCAGGCGGUUAUGCAAGACAGAUGUGAAAUCCCCGGGCUUAACCUGGGAACGGCAUUUGUGACUGCAUAGCUAGAGUGCGGCAGAGGGGGAUGGAAUUCCGCGUGUAGCAGUGAAAUGCGUAGAUAUGCGGAGGAACACCGAUGGCGAAGGCAAUCCCCUGGGCCUGCACUGACGCUCAUGCACAAAAGCGUGGGGAGCAAACAGGAUUAGAUACCCGGGUAGUCCU
rnacentral:rRNA from 1 species